CUUGGUCAUUUAGAGGAAGUAAAAGUCGUAACAAGGUCUCCGUAGGUGAACCUGCGGAGGGAUCAUUACAAGUGACCCCGGUCUUACCACCGGGAUGCUCAUAACCCUUUGUUGUCCGACUCUGUUGCCUCCGGGGCGACCCUGCCUUCGGGCGGGGGCUCCGGGUGGACACUUCAAACUCUUGCGUAACUUUGCAGUCUGAGUAAACUUAAUUAAUAAAUUAAAACUUUUAACAACGGAUCUCUUGGUUCUGGCAUCGAUGAAGAACGCAGCCA
rnacentral:rRNA from 1 species